rnacentral:lncRNA from 1 species
AUGGACUUCUGUCAGUCUUCCCGACCCUGCCUCGGGCCUCGCCCCGCGCCUUCUCUACUCCAGGACAAGUCGGGCCUGGGUGUGGUGGCCAGGCCCUCGCCCCUGCACACACCUGGACCCGGGGCCACGUCAGUGCCUGGCACCACCCUGCCAGGAUCUACCGCGAAGCUGGGCACAGGGGCCCUGGCCCUCGGGGCCCGGACAGAGCUGGCCGCCUGCUCUCCAGCCAGCAGAGACGAGGGGAGACCGGGCAGGACGCGCCGCCCGCACCAGCAGCCUCCCCCCGGGCGCCCUCAGCACCGGUCGGCUCCGUCUCCCCACGCCUGGCUGGGCUGUGGGGCUGCCCAGCCUGGGGGCUGGUGGGCAGCUGCUACUCAGUGCCAAAUCCCGGGGGGCACGGAGCCACAUACCUCGCGUCCGCCCGCCGUCCCCACUUCAGGAAAAGCUGCACUUUACGUCCCUGUCACUGAGGGGUCCUCAGCAAGGAGACAGGUGGCUGACACCCCACCCCCACCCCCCGGGCGCCCUGCGCGCACCACUGAGGGCCGGACCCCAGCCUCUCCCCGACCCUGCAACUGCGUGGGCUCCGGGCCCUUCUCUUCCCCAGCCUCUCGUUCUGUUCAAGUUUCUGUUUACAGCUGGAGUGGGGCAGCCCCUCCCCUGUGUCCCCAGGAGUGGGGUCGGGCAGCCCCUCCCCUGUGUCCCCAGGAGUGGGGUCGGGCAGCUGCCCCUUCUCCCCACCAGGGACCACACUGUGAAGUGAAAACUGCCUUGACUCCCAUUGCUGUUUUAUUUAUUAAACUUGGUUUGACGCCCAGGGCUGCCAUGGUGGGCUCGGGGUCUCCGUGGGGGUCUCCGAGGGGGUCUCUGUGGGGGCCUCCCUGGGCGCGGCCAGGCACAGGCUCCAGCACGGAGCUGAGUGGGUGGAGUGUCGAGGGUUUCCACAACAUGCCAGGGAGGGCGGACGUGGGAUGCAGAGAGGGUCUCUGCCCCUUGGGGGCGCCGAUGGGUCAGCUGGAGCUUGCUGGGCCCCGGGCUGGGGGUGGAGGUGGAGGGCGUGGGGCAGUGGCGUGGGGCAUGAUCAGGUGGGAGCCCCUGCAGGCCUGUGUGGUGCUGCAGCUGGGGGGGGGGUGGAAGCCGAGAUUGGGGUCCACCUGCAGGCCUGUGGGGGGGAGCGAGAGCUCCCAGGGUCCAGGUCUGGUCGCGGGGGAGCUGGUGGUACCAGGAGCCAGGGCGGGGCAGAGGUUAGGAAGCAGCGCUGGGCUGUCGUGGGCACCCUGA